GUUGCAACUUAUACCUGGAUCCUGUUAUGUGAUGCUGUGAAUACUAUGUUAGAUGCCACUGAAAUUGCAGAGAGAAGAGGGAGAGAGAAAGCACAAGCAUGGGGAAGGCCAGAGGAAGAAGGAGAAGCAGGAUUCCUGCCGUGCAGGGAGCCUGACGAGGGGCUAGGAUCCUGGGACCAUGACCUGAGCUGAAAGCCAAUGCUUAACUGAUUGAGCCUCCCAGGGAUCCCCAUAAUUAUUAAUAUUGUUAUUACUAUUAUUACCUAUAGAUAAAGACUCUACCCAGAUGAUAAAAGCAAAUGUUAUUGUAUGAAUUGUUGGCUUAAAUUCUAAAUCCUAAAUCUUAGAGAGCUUGAUACCUUUGUACCUUUGUGUUUAAUUCACAACUCAUUAAAGUGCAUGG
rnacentral:lncRNA from 1 species